UACGUAGGGGGCGAGCGUUGUCCGGAUUUAUUGGGCGUAAAGAGCGUGUAGGCGGCCAGGUAGGUCUGCUGUGAAAACUCGAGGCUCAACCUCGAGACGUCGGCGGAAACCAUCUGGCUAGAGUCCGGAAGAGGAGAGUGGAAUUCCUGGUGUAGCGGUGAAAUGCGCAGAUAUCAGGAAGAACACCCGUGGCGAAGGCGGGUCUCUGGGCCGACAUUGACGCUGAGGAGCGAAAGCGUGGGGAGCGAACAGG
rnacentral:rRNA from 1 species